UACGUAGGUGGCAAGCGUUGUCCGGAUUUACUGGGCGUAAAGAGCGCGCAGGCGGCUGGUCAAGUCCGAUGUGAAAUCUCCCGGCUUAACUGGGAAACUGCAUCGGAAACUGAUCGGCUUGAAGGUGGGAGAGGGUAGUGGAAUUCCCGGUGUAGUGGUGAAAUGCGUAGAUAUCGGGAGGAACACCAGUGGCGAAGGCGGUUGCCUGGAGCUUUGCUGACGCUGAGGCGCGAAAGCGUGGGGAGCGAUCCGG
rnacentral:rRNA from 1 species